UCCCAUGGCAAACUGCUCAGUAACACAUGAUCAACUUACCCUAUAGAGGAAAAUAACCUCGGGAAACUGAGGAUAAUGUUCCAUAGUUGAAUCGGCUUGGAAAAGUUUUUCAAUAAAAGGGAUAAGAAAAAUGGUUCUUAUCUGCUAUAGGAUAGGAUCGUGCUCGAUUAUGGUUGUUGGUGAGGUAAUGGCUCACCAAGCCGAUAAUCGAUAGGGGCCGUGAGAGCGGGAGCCCCGAGAUGGGUACUGAGACAACGACCCAGGCCUUACGAGGCGCAGCAGGCGCGAAACCUCCGCAAUACACGAAAGUGUGACGGGGUUACCCAAAGUGUUCUAUUUAGAACUGUGGUAGGUGAGUAAUGUCCCCUACUAGAAAGGAGAGGGCAAGGCUGGUGCCAGCCGCCGCGGUAAAACCAGCUCUUCAAGUGGUCGGGAUAAUUAUUGGGCUUAAAGUGUCCGUAGCCGGUUUAGUAAGUUCCUGGUAAAAUCGGGUAGCUUAACUAUCUAUAUGCUAGGAAUACUGCUAUACUAGAGGGCGGGAGAGGUCUGAGGUACUACAGGGGUAGGGGUGAAAUCUUAUAAUCCUUGUAGGACCACCAGUGGCGAAGGCGUCAGACUGGAACGCGCCUGACGGUGAGGGACGAAAGCCAGGGGAGCGAACCGGAUUAGAUACCCGGGUAGUCCUGGCCGUAAACGAUGCAUACUAGGUGAUGGCACGGCCAUGAGCCGCGUCAGUGCCGUAGGGAAACCGUUAAGUGUGCCGCCUGGGAAGUACGGUCGCAAGGCUAAAACUUAAAGGAAUUGGCGGGGGAGCACAC
rnacentral:rRNA from 1 species